ACGGAACCUCCUCAACGAGGUCCCCGGACGAGUGGGUGCCGUACCCGGCCAGCGACAAGACGGCGCUCU
rnacentral:ncRNA from 1 species